GGUAAAAUGACACAAAAAGUUAAGGAUAGUAUUAGACUAGUGACAGUUGCAGAAGAGGAAUCAGUCAGGAGCUAUUAACAGUUUAAUUGAUACGCUUUUAUGAAGAAGUGGGUUUUUAAUGAUUUUUUGAAGGAGUGGAGACUGGGUGAGCAUCUAACGGAGGAGGGAAGCGAGUUCCACAGGAACGGUGCAGCCCUCGAGAAAUCUUGAAGGCGAGCAUCAGAGGUGGGAGUACGGAC